rnacentral:rRNA from 1 species
UACGGGGGGAGCAAGCGUUGUUCGGAUUUACUGGGCGUAAAGGGCGCGUAGGCGGCCACCGCAAGUCGACUGUGAAAUCUCCGGGCUUAACCCGGAAAGGUCAGCCGAUACUGCGGGGCUAGAGUGCAGAAGGGGCAACUGGAAUUCUCGGUGUAGCGGUGAAAUGCGUAGAUAUCGAGAGGAACACCAGCGGCGAAGGCGGCACUCUGGGCUGGUACUGACGCUGAGGAGCGAAAGCGUGGGUAGCAAACAGG